ACGAGUUUUCAACACCAAGUCCCUCCCCUCCGUAACUGCGUCAUGGAAACGCCGAACGGAAAUCCAAACCCGCUUAGGUGGUCCCGAUCCUCCACAAAUCGGCCCAAACGAAAAACCGUGUUUUUAAGACUCCAGGAUGUCCUGAGCGGUUCGGCCUUUUGAUAAUUAUGCAAGUUAGCGUUCAACGUUGACCGGCCUGUCUCGGCGGCGAUGGCGGUGAGUUCAUGGAGCGUUCGAGGCGGCGGCGACGCUCAGCUCCGGUAGGUUUUUAUGUAUGCGUUGCCAUUUUUAUACAAAAUCAAAAAGUCUUUUACAUGGGAUCAAGAAGAAAAUUAAUGAAAUAAUUGCGACGAGGUUCACUGAAUUUGCGGAUCAUAUUAUACAAUCGGAUUGGAAGAGGGAGGAGAAAGGAAAGACGAGGAUGACUAUCCGCGUUGCACGGAACCGGCGCGAAUCUCCCCGCCGAGCUUCUCCAGACAUCGUCAUAAGUUUCAUCCCGCCGGCCGAGACACGACUCGUCGCCUCCACUUGGUUUCUUUUGUGGCUGUUAUCUUCAAGACCAAUAUAACGGCAAAAUAACUUUGACGAGCGUCAAAUAAUUAGGGCUCGUAACUCGAAAGGUGUGGGUGAUAUUAUGUUUCGACGAGUUGCGCGAAAUGCAUAUCUCCAAGCUGGCGAUCCGGACGAUGCGACUGUGACCAGCCGGUGCCAAUUGACACCAAGAAUUGCCGGGAAGAAAGACGUCUUGCCGGACGGUACCUUUGGGGCCAAGGAUUGUUUUGUUACUUUACCACACGUAUGCUAUGGGGAGGAAUGGAGACCAUUUGGGGAAGUGAUUGUUUUGGGCGAGUUUACGCCGAGACCGUGAUUGAGGACCAACCGGGUGUGUCGACAAGAGAGUCCGUUCGUUUUCCGGUUUUCAAUGCCGUCCGAGACUGUGUCUUGGGAAAGAUAAUGGCAUAUAUUUCAGAGGAAGUCGAUUGCAGCUUCAAUAAUGGGAGGUUCGAGAUUGACGUACAGGAAAGGGUGACAAGUUCCAGAGCACUUGUUGUCUUUGGACGCUUCGAUGAAAGGUUGGUGUGCCGUAAAGGUGAGGAAAAGAUGUGUGGACGCGAUGAUUGAUAAUUCGUUGGACAGUAUUUAAUAAGUUGCAUUAUAUAUAGAUAUAGAUAUAUAGAGAGAGUGUAGUUUUAUGUAUAUGGGAAAGAGACGGUAGGAGACAUAGGGUUGGUUCAAGGGUAGAUUUGUCAUCUUCUUAAUAUUGACUGAUAAUAAUGUUAAAAAUUAUAAUUAAUUUUUAAUUUACUCUAAUUAAUAAGUUAAAACUUGUAUUUGUUAAAAAAUAGUUCAAAGAUACAUUAAAUAUUGGAAUGAAUAUAUUUGUAUGUUACAUAUUCUUUGUUAAAAAUAGCAUAUUAAUUUAAGUAAAUUGAAAUAAAUCCAAAAUCAAAACAAGAAGCAUAGUUAUCAGAACCGAACCAGUGAUUGAACUGGUCAAGGCAUCGGUUCACUGGUUCAACCGUGGUUCAACCGGUUAUAUAAUAAAUAAAUAAUAAAAAUAUAUUUAAAUAAAAAAAAUCAUUAAAAAAUUAUAAAUUAAUUAAAAGAUAUUAUUUUUUAUACAAUAAUUCAACAUAAGUACAAAUAGUAAUAUUUAUAAAAAAAUAUAAAAUAUCUAAUAAUAAAAACAUUCAAGAGAAAUUUAUUUUUCUUUCUAAUUUAAUAUUUUUAAAUUUACUUUAUUGGUUAUUUUUUAUAUUUAAAAAGAAAAACGUAGCUUGCAUAAUGUGUGUUUAUUAGAUAAUAAUGUGAAUUAUUUGUUUGUGAUCUUUUAAUUUUUUUUUUAAUUUUUUGCUAAUAGCCCUCUUCUUUUUUAUCUUUAUUUUUUAAUAUAUUUUAUAUUUUUAUCUUGAAUUAUUUUUUGAAAAAUAACGUAUCUUGAUAUAUUUUAUUAUAAUAUAUAAAUAUCGAAAGAUGAGAUACCAACGGAAGAAGAGAGAACGUGCGUUAUGUAGCUAGUCAUUUUUUUUUCCUCUUGUUUUUUUUUUUUGCUUCUCUUGACUUUCAUUUGAGAGUUUUCCUUUUUUUUUAAUAAAAAAUCAUAAAAGAUAUGUUUAAAAAAUAAUGGUGUUUAAAAAUUUGUGUAUUUUUUAUUUUUUUAACUUUUUUCAAAAAUCGGCCGAUUCACUAAAUACCGUCCGGUUCACCCGGUUCAAUCCGGUUCACAUGCAUUUUCGGUUAAUUAAUUGAAUCGUACCGAUUUAAAGUCCAGUUCCCGGUUCAACCGAUUAAACCGGCCGGUUCAAUUCAGUUCGAUUUUUAUAAUUAUGACAAGAAGUACAUAAUAUGACAUAUUUAUGGGAGCAAUAAAGUGAAUUCAUGAAACCAAUGGUUAAACAUGAAUCGUACUACAAAUUGACAUAAGACUCGUUUUGUUCCAAGUAAGGUUUUGUGCAAAUAUUCAAUUCACCUGUCAAUCUGUCCGACUCGAACCAACCCA
rnacentral:lncRNA from 1 species